rnacentral:rRNA from 1 species
GACGUCUGCUUCGUAGAGAGCCUGCGGAGGAUCAUUC